UACGAAGGGGGCUAGCGUUGCUCGGAAUGACUGGGCGUAAAGGGCGCGUAGGCGGAUGGCACAGUCAGAUGUGAAAUUCCCGGGCUUAACCUGGGGGCUGCAUUUGAUACGUGUGAUCUAGAGUGAGGAAGAGGGUCGUGGAAUUCCCAGUGUAGAGGUGAAAUUCGUAGAUAUUCGCAAGAACACCAGUGGCGAAGGCGGCUCACUGGCCCGGUACUGACGCUGAGGUGCGAAAGCGUGGGGAGCAAACAGG
rnacentral:rRNA from 1 species